CACUGAGCGUCCACGGUGCGCUGUGUGCUGAGCCCUCCAGCCUGGAGGACACGGCGGGGCGAGGGGGAGGAGAACAGAUAAAACACAGUCAUGGGGACUUCUCAAGUUCUUAACAUCUAUAAAUUCAACAGGUCCAGGAUGUUACUUCAAGAGCUAAAGUGAGAAAAAAACUCAAGGAGUAACAGUGGCGGAUGACUCAGAAAGGAUCAGAGAUAAGAGUGUCUUCGAGAUGGUCACAAUGAGGUCACUGGCGCUCUGGUGAGAACUGCUUCCUGGAGUGGUGGGUGUGGAAGGAUGCUGAGUAGCAGAGGCUGUUCCUAAAGUCAGAUCUUGAAGUCUGGCCCCGGAGCCAGAAGAACUGGUUGGUUUUAGAUCAAGCGCCUGCUUCAGCCUCGUCUGGAAGUAGCUACACAGUAACAGCCAGUGUUUACAGAGUCUUGGGUCAAUUACUCCGCCCGUCAGCUUCUGCCGUCAGUAUGGGUUUUAUGCCCAUUUUACAGUAAGGAGAAUGCCUGCUUUGGAGGCGUGUGCACAUGGACAAAGGGAACUGGAAGUGUCCCUGCCCUGAUGCCUGGGUGAUAAACCUAGGCCCUGGCUUUGUGACGGCAGUAAAUGCUGCUUUUAAAGUUGCCACAGCUUAAGGAAAAUGGUGGUGACACAUUCAUCGGAGAAGCUGAAAGGCAGACAGUGUUAUCAGCUGAAGAAAAAUCGUGGUGUCAGCUUUGGUUACGUUAUGGAUGCCAUGGUUGGGGAUAAAAAGAGGUACCCGUGUCUACCUUUCCAAAACAAUCUGCGCGUCUUUAAAAAGCAUGUGUUGGUGACAUUUUUAAAGACCUAAAACCAUCUCCUCCCGGUCCUGAAGCACUCUUUCCGCCUCUGCUGCCAUAUGUUUUUCCAGCUGGACCUCCACCAGUCUUCCGCUCUCCAGAAAGUUCUCAUUCAUUCAACCCAAGGGUAUCUCAAUGGCUUUUCUGAGGACUGCUGGAAGUUUCAGCAGGAGUCCUGGCCACAUGGAAAAAUACAGCUACUUGAGCUUACAGAUGAAGGUCUCAAAUUGGGAGUCUGCCCUCAGGGGCUGUGCUUUCAUUAUUCAACUUAAAUUUGGAGAAAUGUAAAUAAACAUAUUUAAAUGUGUGAAACUGUAUAAGAAAAACGUCCUUAUUAGCCUGCACUUUCAGUGAUUCAGACGUCCUCACCAAAUCCAACAGCAGGGAAAUUUAAGAAUGGUUUUUGUUCUUUAAGAACAGGGUUUUUUUGUUUGUUUGUUUUGGUUUUUUUUGUCUGAGGACUGGAAUCCACCCACGUGUUUACUCUGACUAGCCAGUGACCUCCGGACCUUGUUUUUCAUUGUUCAUCUUCUAUUCACCUGGGGCACCGCGGGUGUUUUCGCUUUUCCAGAUGCUGUUUUUCAGACUGGUUGAUAGAACGGCUGGAGUGACCACUCUCGGAUACACUUUGGAGUUCCGGCCUCCGGGCCAAGGUUCACUGUCCCCAGUCCUAACCCAGCUGCGGGUUCUUUGUGAGUCAGACUUGGGUGAUGCCCUGUCGG